rnacentral:rRNA from 1 species
ACGUAGGGGGCAAGCGUUGUCCGGAAUUAUUGGGCGUAAAGCGCGCGCAGGUGGGAUCUUAAGUGCAUUUUGAAAGUCCGGAGCUUAACUCCGUGAUGGGAUGGAAACUGGAAUUCUUGAGUAUCGGAGAGGAAAGUGGAAUUCCCCGUGUAGCGGUGAAAUGCGUAGAUAUGAGGAGGAACACCAGUGGCGAAGGCGGCUUUCUGGACUGUAACUGACACUGAGGCGCGAAAGCGUGGGGAGCAAACAG